rnacentral:tRNA from 1 species
CUUCAGGUGGCCGAGUAAAGCGAUAGAUUUUUAAUCUAUUUACGAUAUAAAAUUUAUCUCUGAGGA